rnacentral:rRNA from 1 species
GAUGAACGCUAGCUACAGGCUUAACACAUGCAAGUCGAGGGGAAACGAUAUUGGAAGCUUGCUUCCGAUAGGCGUCGACCGGCGCACGGGUGAGUAACGCGUAUCCAACCUGCCCAUCACUUGGGGAUAACCUUGCGAAAGUAAGACUAAUACCCAAUGACGUCUCUAGAAGACAUCUGAAAGAGAUUAAAGAUUUAUCGGUGAUGGAUGGGGAUGCGUCUGAUUAGCUUGUUGGCGGGGUAACGGCCCACCAAGGCGACGAUCAGUAGGGGUUCUGAGAGGAAGGUCCCCCACAUUGGAACUGAGACACGGUCCAAACUCCUACGGGAGGCAGCAGUGAGGAAUAUUGGUCAAUGGACGAGAGUCUGAACCAGCCAAGUAGCGUGCAGGAAGACGGCCCUAUGGGUUGUAAACUGCUUUUAUAAGGGAAUAAAGUGAGUCUCGUGAGACUUUUUGCAUGUACCUUAUGAAUAAGGACCGGCUAAUUCCGUGCCAGCAGCCG